CUGCAGGCGGCUGGGAGCUGUAAGGCACGGGCUGGCACUCACAGGAGGGCAGCAGGGCUUCCAGCUUUCAUGCUUGAGCUGGGCAGAGCAUAGUGCCAAUGUGUGCAUGUCUGCUGGGCUUCUGACCACGGAACAUGCAUACAAAAGCAUACAUGACUCUCCUGCUGAUGCUGAGGGGCCUGACCCUGCGCUGGCAUGACGGACUGCAGAGCCGAUGCCUGUGUCCUGACAGUGCUUGAAGAUCCUGGAGCAUCCUGGAGGAUGGGGGUCCUGCCUUCCAUAAGAAAGUGCUGGGCAGGAACGGCAAGAAUAUUUCCAUUAUUCAGUGUUUGUUCAAUACCUGGCCAAGGACAGCUCAAGAAACUGAUUGGAAAUUGAAAAAGAAGCAAAAUCCAUUUUCUUUCUCUUGCCUAAGGAGGGAAGGAAGAAGAUGAAGUUAAGAGCUUUCAUUUCUGAAAUCAUGAAAUCCAUAAAACGUCCAGAUCCCAUCACAGAAAAUGUUCUUUUAUUUAAAAAAAUGGGUUAGUUUUAAUAUUUUAGAAGUGUAAGUUCUUUUCCUACAUAUAUUUAGGACAUUUAAGAUACAGUAAAAACACAUUUUAAA
rnacentral:lncRNA from 1 species